rnacentral:lncRNA from 1 species
GCUGAUACUAUUUGCUUUCAGCUCAAUUAUAACCACUAUGUUGAAAAUUAGCCAUGUUUUUUUGUGAACUUUUGGAAUCGUGGUUUUGAAUUUGGAUACUGAUUCAAUUGGUCCAAUAUACUCUGUAAGUGUUCGAUUUUGUGAGCGAAAUUGCUUUUGAGUUUAUUUGCUUUGAUAUGUGUAUAUGCAUGUUACUUGAUGAACUAGCUGCUGAUACAUACUUUGAGAUGGUUUUUCUUUUUAAAAUGUCGUGUCAAUUAAGGCACGUCCUUUCUGGAUAUGUUGCAAAUAAACCAAUUAAAAAGCGAAAGAAAUCAAUUUGUUUAUUUAGGAACUUCUCUUUCAAGGUAGCCAUUGUGGAAUCAUAGAUGCCUAUUGUGCAACUGCUAGAAAAGGGGUAAGACAUGAGAAAUAUAGGGUUCUGGUGCUUUGUUAUGACCUUUGCCCUAGAGGAAGAUUCACAAGGUUUAAAUGUCACUCAUGUCAAGUAGCAAGGACUUCUGAGCUAGAUAUUUCUUUGUGUUUUUACCUGUCAGAAAAGUAUAAUAGUAUACUUCUCUCUGUUUUUCUAUUCUUCUGAGCUAGAUAUUUCUUUGUGUUUUACCUGUCAGAAAAGUAUAAUAGUAUACUUCUCUCCGUUUUACUUUAUUUUACCGAUAUUGGUCUCUUCAUGGUCAUGGAUAUAUGAGGUAGCAUAACUCUUAAGGAAAAGGGAAGGCAAUGAAUUAGUUUGAUUUCUGUUUUAUAACUUUAUAUUAGCCAUUUUUCAUUCCUCUUAACCAAUUUGGAUGUAUUAGAAGAUUGAGUGGGUUGAGGGCCUUGUGGCGAGCUCGCUUUUCUGCAUAUUACCUCCUUGAUAACAAUGGCAUGUCUAACCUUUAACAAAAACUGCAUUUAGUCCACCUUCCUUAUGCUGGUAUUUGCAUUUCCUCAUGAGUGUUGGACCUCUGCUUUGUUGUAUAUUAGCUUAAAAA